AUUGAACGCUGGCGGCAUGCCUUACACAUGCAAGUCGAACGGUAACGGGCCUUCGGGUGCCGACGAGUGGCGAACGGGUGAGUAAUGUAUCGGAACGUACCUUUCAGUGGGGGAUAACGUAGCGAAAGUUACGCUAAUACCGCAUAUUCUGUGCGCAGGAAAGCAGGGGAUCGCAAGACCUUGCGCUGAUUGAGCGGCCGAUAUCAGAUUAGCUAGUUGGCGGGGUAAAGGCCCACCAAGGCGACGAUCGAUAGCUGGUCUGAGAGGAUGAUCAGCCACACUGGAACUGAGACACGGUCCAGACUCCUACGGGAGGCAGCAGUAGGGAAUAUUGGACAAUGGGGGCAACCCUGAUCCAGCCAUGCCGCGUGAGUGAAGAAGGCCCUCGGGUUGUAAAGCUCUUUUGUCCGGAAGAAAGCAAUCGGUUAAUACCCGGUUGUUCUGACGGUACCGGAAGAUAAGCACCGGCUAACUUCGUGCCAGCAG
rnacentral:rRNA from 1 species